AACGCACCUUGCGCUCCUUGGCAUUCCGAGGAGCAUGCCUGUUUGAGUGUCGUUGAAUUUCUCAGAACCCCCCUCCCCGUCUUUUUGGCGAGUGGGUUGGGUUUGGAUUGGUGGAGGAUGCACUGCUGCUGCCCCUAUAGGGCCAACUUUGCUCCUCUGAAAUAAAACGGCGGUUAUGGCACAAAAACUGGUCGUCGGUAUGAUACUCCUUACCGGCUCCCAAACCAUGCCUAGCUGCGCCAGACAAAGACAAUGGAUUGCCUUUGUAGACAAAUUUGACCUCAAAUCAGGCAGGACUACCCGCUGAACUUAA
rnacentral:misc_RNA from 1 species